rnacentral:rRNA from 1 species
UACGUAGGGGGCAAGCGUUGUCCGGAUUUAUUGGGCGUAAAGAGCGUGUAGGCGGCUUUGCAGGUCCGCUGUGAAAACUCGAGGCUUAACCUCGAGCUGUCGGUGGAAACCGCAUGGCUAGAGUCCGGAAGAGGAGAAUGGAAUUCCCGGUGUGGCGGUGAAAUGCGCAGAUAUCGGGAAGAACACCCGUGGCGAAGGCGGUUCUCUGGGACGGUACUGACGCUGAAACGCGAAAGCGUGGGGAGCGAACAGG